rnacentral:lncRNA from 1 species
CAGUUGUAUGGUGGUUGCCGGGCUCUGGCAGAGGGACAGGCAGUCCUGAGCUUCUGUGCCCUCAGGUGCUCCGCAGAGGGGUCCGAGGAAUGCUCACCUGCUGGCACUGGCUUGUUAGAGUGCUUCAUGUUCCAGCUGCCCUCAGUUUGGCCCCUGAGGAGGAAGUUCAGGUGCUGGACCUUAACUGCCAGGGUGACGGUACCGGGGACAGGCCUCUGGGAGGUGAGCUCCUGCCUCUUGCAGGGGGCCAAGGCCCUGAUGGAGAGAGGCAUCCUGCAGCGCCCUUGCCUUGCAAGGUGAAGACACAGCUGACAGGCACCAGCAUCAUGACCUUGGACUUCAGCCUCCAGAACUGAGAAGAGCUCCUGUUCUGUGUAAAUCCCACUGUCUGUGCUGUUCUGUUACAGCAGCACAAAAUACGAGUGCUGCUAUUACUAAACUCUGGACUUGGGUCCGAAAAGUUCAUCGGCUGUGACAAAUGCUGGAAGGGUGGGCAUGGGGAGGGGUUGGGGCAGCAACUGCCUGUACUUUUUGUUCAGUUUUACUGUGGACCAAAAAUUGCUUCAAAAAAUUGUCUAUUAAUAGAAAAGUUAGGAAAAAAUGCACACCUACUGAGCUUUUCCCAGAUGCACCAUUUUGUUUCCU